rnacentral:rRNA from 1 species
UACGAAGGGGGCUAGCGUUGCUCGGAAUCACUGGGCGUAAAGGGUGCGUAGGCGGGUCUUUAAGUCAGGGGUGAAAUCCUGGAGCUCAACUCCAGAACUGCCUUUGAUACUGAGGAUCUUGAGUCCGGGAGAGGUGAGUGGAACUGCGAGUGUAGAGGUGAAAUUCGUAGAUAUUCGCAAGAACACCAGUGGCGAAGGUGGCUCACUGGCCCGGUACUGACGCUGAGGCACGAAAGCGUGGGGAGCAAACAGG